AAUAAGACAUUUUAAGUACUCAAUAUUAUCAUUUAAUUUAAAAUAAAAACAUCGGGUAAUUUCAGGUCUUUAGUACAUCCGGGUUUCAGUGUGUCCCAUCGAAAUCGGCAAAUCGGACACAUGUUGAUCAUGUUUACAAAGUGAAGUUGAGGAUUUUCUCACCAUACAAGCCGUAUGUAAACAUGCACGGACAUUUUAUCUGCAGCUCAAAGUACUUUAUCAAUCCUCUGGAGUAUUAUUCUAAGCAAACUUAUCCGAUUUAUAUAUUCUUGUGUGAAUUGUUUACGAGGAAAUUCCGACUGUCACAGUAAUAAACAAGGAUGAACACUCUUGACUCUGUUUCGGAUUCCCCAGUGAUAAUUGUAUCGAAUGAUUAAAGAGCUGACGGUUACAUUUUAAUUUAUGAUUGGCGUGGACCAUGGGAAUGAAUUCGAAGUCAUUUUAUGAUGCCACCACUUGGGAUAGUAAGCUGCAAAUAUAGACUUGUACUCAGCACUUAUUGCCUUUGAGAAGUAAGGGAUCCUUUUCGUGCCAACACCCACACCUACUGUGACACAGAAUCUCGGUUUAUACAGUCUCUUUGGAGUAACCUGUCUCUAGCAUUUAGCAGUGUGACUGUCAUCUGAGUACUGAAAUUUGAUGCCAAGCAUGAUCAUGAUUUGCCAGAAGAGCCUCUUUUGGGAGAUGACAAAGAAUAAACAGCAGAAUGAAAUUGAAACAAUCAACUGAAUCAAGUCUCAGUUUAAGAAGAUGAUUUUAAAUAUAUCAUAUUUAAAUUUUGAUUUGAGAAACAGACAUAAAUCCAAAAAUAUGAUUAUAUCAAUUGCUUUCAGUUUUUCAAGAUAAAUAGAUUUUGUUGCAAAAUCUAAUAUGUUUAAUUUGGAAUAAAUGUUCUUUUAAAUAUU